AACACGUGCUAAAUCUGCCCAGGAGAGGUGGCAGGGUCAUCCUGGCCAGCCACAGCAAGCGGAGAGCUGAGACCGCUCUCGCUGACAUCAAGAGAAUGGGAUGUUCAACAAUCUGACUUUCUUCACAUUAGCACAUUUUAUUACAUCACAACCCUCGUGCGGUGGCAGUCAUAAGUCGAAGUGAAAAGAGGCGUUUUGGAAAAUGAUAAAUCUAUGAAUGGUUCGGCAUCAAUUGUUCAAUUAAAUUGGGACAGAGUAACAAAGAAAUGCCUGUGUCCUGUAGGAGAGUGGGAACAAUGAGGUGGUAUUCAUGCAGCUGGACCUGGGGAGUCAAGUCUGUUCGCUCCUUUGAUGAAAUCGUCUUGAGACUGGACCCAGAUUGAGAGGUGAAGGAGGAUUGAGGAGGUAUUGUUGGAUCACUCUUUUUCUGGGUGUAUCUCGAUAAUUCUAAACUUUUCUCUCUUCCCUCUACCCUUCUUUAUUUGUGCUGAAAUGGCAGGUGAAAGCAAUACACCUGUCCGGUUCCUUUGCAUCAUUACAGGAUGAAAGAAAGGCUGUGAGGAGAUGAAGCUACUUAAGACUAUUGAGAUGCACCCUGAACUCCCAUCAACCCAUAGAAGUGAUUACGGAUGAAUGAUGUCUCGUUUCCUCUCAGGAGAGUGGGAACAAUGAGGUGGUAUUCAUGCAGCUGGACCUGGGGAGUCAAGUCUGUUCGCUCCUUUGAUGAAAUCGUCUUGAGACUGGACCCAGAUUGAGAGGUGAAGGAGGAUUGAGGAGGUAUUGUUGGAUCACUCUUUUUCUGGGUGUAUCUCGAUAAUUCUAAACUUUUCUCUCUUCCCUCUACCCUUCUUUAUUUGUGCUGAAAUGGCAGGUGAAAGCAAUACACCUGUCCGGUUCCUUUGCAUCAUUACAGGAUGAAAGAAAGGCUGUGAGGAGAUGAAGCUACUUAAGACUAUUGAGAUGCACCCUGAACUCCCAUCAACCCAUAGAAGUGAUUACGGAUGAAUGAUGUCUCGUUUCCUCUCAGGAGAGUGGGAACAAUGAGGUGGUAUUCAUGCAGCUGGACCUGGGGAGUCAAGUCUGUUCGCUCCUUUGAUGAAAUCGUCUUGAGACUGGACCCAGAUUGAGAGGUGAAGGAGGAUUGAGGAGGUAUUGUUGGAUCACUCUUUUUCUGGGUGUAUCUCGAUAAUUCUAAACUUUUCUCUCUUCCCUCUACCCUUCUUUAUUUGUGCUGAAAUGGCAGGUGAAAGCAAUACACCUGUCCGGUUCCUUUGCAUCAUUACAGGAUGAAAGAAAGGCUGUGAGGAGAUGAAGCUACUUAAGACUAUUGAGAUGCACCCUGAACUCCCAUCAACCCAUAGAAGUGAUUACGGAUGAAUGAUGUCUCGUUUCCUCUCAGGAGAGUGGGAACAAUGAGGUGGUAUUCAUGCAGCUGGACCUGGGGAGUCAAGUCUGUUCGCUCCUUUGAUGAAAUCGUCUUGAGACUGGACCCAGAUUGAGAGGUGAAGGAGGAUUGAGGAGGUAUUGUUGGAUCACUCUUUUUCUGGGUGUAUCUCGAUAAUUCUAAACUUUUCUCUCUUCCCUCUACCCUUCUUUAUUUGUGCUGAAAUGGCAGGUGAAAGCAAUACACCUGUCCGGUUCCUUUGCAUCAUUACAGGAUGAAAGAAAGGCUGUGAGGAGAUGAAGCUACUUAAGACUAUUGAGAUGCACCCUGAACUCCCAUCAACCCAUAGAAGUGAUUACGGAUGAAUGAUGUCUCGUUUCCUCUCAGGAGAGUGGGAACAAUGAGGUGGUAUUCAUGCAGCUGGACCUGGGGAGUCAAGUCUGUUCGCUCCUUUGAUGAAAUCGUCUUGAGACUGGACCCAGAUUGAGAGGUGAAGGAGGAUUGAGGAGGUAUUGUUGGAUCACUCUUUUUCUGGGUGUAUCUCGAUAAUUCUAAACUUUUCUCUCUUCCCUCUACCCUUCUUUAUUUGUGCUGAAAUGGCAGGUGAAAGCAAUACACCUGUCCGGUUCCUUUGCAUCAUUACAGGAUGAAAGAAAGGCUGUGAGGAGAUGAAGCUACUUAAGACUAUUGAGAUGCACCCUGAACUCCCAUCAACCCAUAGAAGUGAUUACGGAUGAAUGAUGUCUCGUUUCCUCUCAGGAGAGUGGGAACAAUGAGGUGGUAUUCAUGCAGCUGGACCUGGGGAGUCAAGUCUGUUCGCUCCUUUGAUGAAAUCGUCUUGAGACUGGACCCAGAUUGAGAGGUGAAGGAGGAUUGAGGAGGUAUUGUUGGAUCACUCUUUUUCUGGGUGUAUCUCGAUAAUUCUAAACUUUUCUCUCUUCCCUCUACCCUUCUUUAUUUGUGCUGAAAUGGCAGGUGAAAGCAAUACACCUGUCCGGUUCCUUUGCAUCAUUACAGGAUGAAAGAAAGGCUGUGAGGAGAUGAAGCUACUUAAGACUAUUGAGAUGCACCCUGAACUCCCAUCAACCCAUAGAAGUGAUUACGGAUGAAUGAUGUCUCGUUUCCUCUCAGGUAUUUACAUUCAGGGCAACACAGAAGACUGCUUGGGGAUGAUGUUUGGUGUUAACCACCGGUCAUUUCCUGUUGACCAACCUGCUUCAGGACAGUCUGAAGGAGUGCAGUCCGAGUCGAGUGGUUAAUGUGGCGUCCCUGGGUCAUAAUUUUGGCAAAAUGUAUUUCAACUGCUCGAGCACUUAGGGAGUAGGCAAGUCUGCCAUGGAUGUCUUUAACAUCUACAGCAACAGCAAGCUGUGUAAUGUUCUCUUCACCCAUGAACUGGCCAAGAGACUGGAGGACACAAAUGUUACCUACUUCAGCCUCCACCCUGGUCAGUGCUGCUAAGUCAGGUUUAUAAAGCUUUUGAAUGUAAUGGUAUCUGCAGUUUUCAAGUUAGUUCUACCUUGGUUGAAUGUAAAGUAGAUUAAAAUGCCUAAUGAUCCAGUCCAAGCUCUCCUCUGUUCUGGCACCCACCCCAAUGGUGGAACAAGUUUCCCCCUAAUAUCAGGACAGUGUAGUCCCUGACCAUCUUCCGACAACGUCUGAAAACCUACCUCUUUAAAGAGUAUCUUAAAUAAAUCCCACAACGAUAUGUUGUCUCACCUAGCUAUCUUAAGAUUAAUACACUAAUGUAAGUCGGUCUGGAAAAGAGCGUCUAAAUGACUAAUAUAGAUUUUUUUUUAAAUAUAUGUUUUAUGAAUGGAUAACUCAACUCUAGUGCUUGUGUUUUUUUUUCUCCUGGGUUUAAUCUAACCUGAGCUGGGCCGUUAUGCAGACACUGUAUUGUUAAUGCUGUUGAAGGUCAUCUCCAUGUUGUUCUUCAAGAACACUAUGUUGGGGUGUCUGACUGACCUGGAUGAAUGAAGACAGCUUGUCUGUUGAAACAUUGGUUAUUAGGUUAUUAAAUUAUUGCAUCUGACCUCCUAGAGUGUGCCGCUCUCCUUUUUCUUUUUCAGGGGUGUCAGACCAACCUGGAGCCCCUCUCUGGACGCUACUUCUCCAACUGUACAGUCGUGGCCAAAAGCUUUGAGAAUGACACAAAU